rnacentral:rRNA from 1 species
AGUUUGAUCCUGGCUCAGGAUGAACGCUGGCGGCGUGCUUAACACAUGCAAGUCGAACGGAGCUCUUUGAACUGAGGAUUCGUCCAAAGUGAUGGGAUGACUAGUGGCGGACGGGUGAGUAACGCGUGGGUAACCUGCCGUAUGCAGGGGGACAACAGUUGGAAACGACUGCUAAUACCGCAUAAGCGCACAGGACCGCAUGGUCUAGUGUGAAAAGAUUUAUCGGCAUACGAUGGACCCGCGUCUGAUUAGCUAGUUGGUGAGGUAACGGCCCACCAAGGCGACGAUCAGUAGCCGGCCUGAGAGGGUGAACGGCCACAUUGGGACUGAGACACGGCCCAAACUCCUACGGGAGGCAGCAGUGGGGAAUAUUGCACAAUGGGGGAAACCCUGAUGCAGCCGACGCCGCGUGAGUGAAGAAGUAUCUCGGUAUGUAAAGCUCUAUCAGCAGGGAAGAAAAUGACGGUACCUGACUAAGAAGCCCCGGCUAACUACGUGCCAGCCGCAGC